rnacentral:pre_miRNA from 1 species
CUCGUUGGGGGGGGUGCCCCUCAGCCCAGAUUGCAAGAGGGCGCAGGCCAGGCCGAGGGAUCCCAUCAGUGCAUG